GGCUGCCCAUACCUCCCAAACUAUGUUUGUCUGGAGAUAGCGCUGUGGGCAGGUGGGUCUGGACAGGGGUGAUGUUGUGGAUGUUUGUCUGGAGAUGUGGGCAGGUGGGUCUGGACAAGGGUGAUGUUGUGGAUGUUGGUCUGGAGAUGUUGGCAGGUGGGUCUGGACAGGGGUGAUGUUGUGGAUGUUGGUCUGGAGAUAGGGCUGUGGGCAGGUGGGUCUGGACAGGGGUGAUGUUGUGGAUGUUGGUCUGGAGAUAGGGCUGUGGGCAGGUGGGUCUGGACAGGGGUGAUGUUGUGGAUGUUUGUCUGGAGAUGUGGGCAGGUGGGUCUGGACAGGGGUGAUGUUGUGGAUGUUGGUCUGGAGAUAGGGCUGUGGGCAGGUGGGUCUGGACAGGGGUGAUGUUGUGGAUGUUGGUCUGGAGAUAGCGCUGUGGGCAGGUGGGUCUGGACAGGGGUGAUGUUGUGGAUGUUGGUCUGGAGAUAGCGCUGUGGGCAGGUGGGUCUGGACAGGGGUGAUGUUGUGGAUGUUUGUCUGGAGAUAGCGCUGUGGGCAGGUGGGUCUGGACAGGGGUGAUGUUGUGGAUGUUUGUCUGGAGAUAGGGCUGUGGGCAGGUGGGUCUGGACAGGGGUGAUGUUGUGGAUGUUUGUCUGGAGAUAGCGCUGUGGGCAGGUGGGUCUGGACAGGGGUGAUGUUGUGGAUGUUUGUCUGGAGAUAGGGCUGUGGGCAGGUGGGUCUGGACAGGGGUGAUGUUGUGGAUGUUUGUCUGGAGAUAGGGCUGUGGGCAGGUGGGUCUGGACAGGGGUGAUGUUGUGGAUGUUGGUCUGGGGAUGUGGGCAGGUGGGUCUGGACAGGGGUGAUGUUGUGGAUGUUUGUCUGGAGAUAGGGCUGUGGGCAGGUGGGUCUGGACAGGGGUGAUGUUGUGGAUGUUUGUCUGGAGAUAGCGCUGUGGGCAGGUGGGUCUGGACAGGGGUGAUGUUGUGGAUGUUUGUGUCUGUCUGUAUGUUGUUGUUUGUAUGUGGAGGUUUUGUAUUGUUAAAACUGGAUACUAUAUAAUCGGUUACUUUUGAUUUCCAAAAGGGAAAACAGUCGGAUUCUGAUGGGGUGAUACAACAUCCAAUAGGAUGUGAGAAUCAUAUAGGGUCCAAUAGGAUGUGAGAAUCAUA